rnacentral:misc_RNA from 1 species
GAUGAACAACGUAGCAAAAUGCGAUACUUGGUGUGAAUUGCAGAAUCCCGUGAACCAUCGAGUUUUUGAACGCAAGUUGCGCCCGAAGCCUUUUGGCCGAGGGCACGUCUGCCUGGGCGUCACGCAUCGCGUCGCCCCCCACAAUUCUCCGUAAAGGGAACGUGUGUUUUGGGGGCGGAUAUUGGUCUCCCGUGCUCAUGGCGUGGUUGGCCGAAAUAGGAGUCCUUUCGAUGGACGCACGAACUAGUGGUGGUCGUAAAACCCCUCGUCUUUUGUUUCGUGCUGUUGCUCGCAAGGUAAACUCUUUAAAAACCCCAAUGUGUCGUCUCUUGACGACGCUUCGACCGCGACCCCAGGUCAGGCGGGACUACCCGCUGAGUUUAAGCAUAUCAAUAAGCGGAGGA